GAUCCUGGCUCAGGACGAACGCUGGCGGCGUGCUUAACACAUGCAAGUCGAACGAGAGGAUGAGGAAGCUCGCUUCUUCGGAAUCGAGUGGCAAACGGGUGAGUAACGCGUAAACAACCUGCCCUCGGGAUGGGGACAACAGCUGGAAACGGCUGCUAAUACCGAAUAUCUUCAUGGAGCCGCAUGACACCAUGAAGAAAGGAUGGCCUCUAUUUAUAAGCUAUCGCCGGAGGAGGGGUUUGCGUCUGAUUAGCUAGUUGGAGGGGUAACGGCCCACCAAGGCGACGAUCAGUAGCCGGUCUGAGAGGACGAACGGCCACAUUGGAACUGAGACACGGUCCAGACUCCUACGGGAGGCAGCAGUGGGGAAUCUUCCGCAAUGGGCGAAAGCCUGAUCCAGCCAUGCCGCGUGUGUGAAGAAGGUCUUCGGAUUGUAAAGCACUUUAAGUUGGGAGGAAGGGCAGUAAGUUAAUACCUUGCUGUUUUGACGUUACCAACAGAAUAAGCACCGGCUAACUUCGUGCCAGCAGCCGCGGUAAUACGAAGGGUGCAAGCGUUAAUCGGAAUUACUGGGCGUAAAGCGCGCGUAGGUGGUUCAGCAAGUUGGAUGUGAAAUCCCCGGGCUCAACCUGGGAACUGCAUCCAAAACUACUGAGCUAGAGUACGGUAGAGGGUGGUGGAAUUUCCUGUGUAGCGGUGAAAUGCGUANAGAUCUGGAGGAAUACCGAUGGCGAANGCAGCCAUCUGGCCUAACACUGACNCUGAGGUGCGAAAGCAUGGGGAGCAAACAGGAUUANAUACCCCUGGUAGUCCAUGCCGUAAACGAUGUCUACUANCCGUUGGGGCCCUUUGGCGCAGNUAACNCGAUAAGUAGNCCGCNUGGGNAGUACGGUCGCAAGANUAAAACUCAAAUGAAUUGACGGGGGCCCGCNCAAGCGGUGGAGCAUGUGGUUUAAUUCGAUGCAACGCGAAGAACCUUACCUGGCCUUGACAUGCUGAGAACUUUCCAGAGAUGGAUUGGUGCCUUCGGGAACUCAGACACAGGUGCUGCAUGGCUGUCGUCAGCUCGUGUCGUGAGAUGUUGGGUUAAGUCCCGUAACGAGCGCAACCCUUGUCCUUAGUUACCAGCACCUCGGGUGGGCACUCUAAGGAGACUGCCGGUGACAAACCGGAGGAAGGUGGGGAUGACGUCAAGUCAUCAUGGCCCUUACGGCCAGGGCUACACACGUGCUACAAUGGUCGGUACAAAGGGUUGCCAAGCCGCGAGGUGGAGCUAAUCCCAUAAAACCGAUCGUAGUCCGGAUCGCAGUCUGCAACUCGACUGCGUGAAGUCGGAAUCGCCAGUAAUCGUGAAUCAGAAUGUCACGGUGAAUACGUUCCCGGGCCUUGUACACACCGCCCGUCACACCAUGGGAGUGGGUUGCUCCAGAAGUAGCUAGUCUAACCGCAAGGGGGACGGUUACCACGGAGUGAUUCAUGACUGGGGUGAAGUCGUAACAAGGUAGCC
rnacentral:rRNA from 1 species